rnacentral:rRNA from 1 species
AUUGAACGCUGGCGGCAUGCUUUACACAUGCAAGUCGAGCGGUAACAGGCCUUCGGGUGCUGACGAGUGGCGAACGGGUGAGUAAUGCAUCGGAACGUACCCAGAGGUGGGGGAUAACGCAGCGAAAGCUGUGCUAAUACCGCAGGUGAUCUGAGGAUGAAAGCGGGGGACCGAGCAGCAAUGUUUGGCCUCGUGCCUUUGGAGCGGCCGAUGUCGGAUUAGCUAGUUGGUGGGGUAAAGGCCUACCAAGGCGACGAUCCGUAGCUGGUCUGAGAGGACGACCAGCCACACUGGGACUGAGACACGGCCCAGACUCCUACGGGAGGCAGCAGUGGGGAAUUUUGGACAAUGGGCGCAAGCCUGAUCCAGCAAUGCCGCGUGCGGGAAGAAGGCCUUCGGGUUGUAAACCGCUUUUGGCAGGAACGAAACGGUGUCCGCUAAUACCGGGCGCUAAUGACGGUACCUGCAGAAUAAGCACCGGCUAACUACGUG